UUUCAGGGAGUGGUGAUAUGGAUUCAGAAAACAUGUGUGGUGAUCCGGAAAGUCGGAUCACGGCGUCACGUGAUUGCGUUAUAUCUACAGUAAAGUUGAGUGGUACACAUUAGAACGAAUCUGGGAAUGUUUUUGAUGUGAAUGGCAUAUCAGAGUGUAUUGAAGAUGAUGAUUUUGAUGAAAACUCAAUGUCCAGCGCCGAAGAGUUUGAGGAUACUCUAAUAAAGAAUCCAGAUCGCAAAAAGAAAGCAAAACAUAAAUACAGACGACGAAGAAGACUGAAGAAAUCGGCUGCCCGGUGUACCAAAACGAUUAACAAGAAAUGGGAAUUUUUCUGAUACAUAGUAUUAUUUUUGCUG